rnacentral:rRNA from 1 species
AGAGUUUGAUCCUGGCUCUGAUUGAACGCUGGCGGCAUGCUUUACACAUGCAAGUCGAACGGCAGCGGGGGCUUCGGUCCGCCGGCGAGUGGCGAACGGGUGAGUAAUGCAUCGGAACGUACCCAGUCGUGGGGGAUAACGCAGCGAAAGCUGUGCUAAUACCGCAUACGUCCUGAGGGAGAAAGCGGGGGACCUUCGGGCCUCGCGCGAUUGGAGCGGCCGAUGUCGGAUUAGCUAGUUGGUGGGGUAAAGGCUCACCAAGGCGACGAUCCGUAGCUGGUCUGAGAGGAUGAUCAGCCACACUGGGACUGAGACACGGCCCAGACUCCUACGGGAGGCAGCAGUGGGGAAUUUUGGACAAUGGGGGCAACCCUGAUCCAGCCAUGCCGCGUGAGUGAAGAAGGCCUUCGGGUUGUAAAGCUCUUUCAGUCGGGAAGAAACGGAGCGCUCUAACAUAGCGCUCUACUGACGGUACCGACAGAAGAAGCACCGGCUAACUACGUGCCAGCAGCCGC